GACGUAGGGCGCGAGCGUUGUCCGGAUUUAUUGGGCGUAAAGAGCUCGUAGGCGGCUUGUCGCGUCGUUCGUGAAAACCUGCAGCUCAACUGCAGGCUUGCGGUCGAUACGGGCAGGCUAGAGUUCGGUAGGGGGAGACUGGAAUUCCUGGUGUAGCGGUGAAAUGCGCAGAUAUCAGGAAGAACACCCGUGGCUAAGGCGGCUCUCUAGUACGGGUACUGACGCUGAGACGGCGAAAGCGUGGGGAGCGAACAGG
rnacentral:rRNA from 1 species